CAGGUGCGUGGCCCAGUUAGCGGGGCACCGGCCCGUGACGCCGGGGAAGUGGGUGCAAUUCCCACCCACCUGACCA
rnacentral:tRNA from 1 species